GACGGAGGGUGCUAGCGUUGUUCGGAAUGACUGGGCGUAAAGGGCGCGUAGGCGGCCGCUUGCGUCGGAUGUGAAAGCCCGGGGCUCAACCCCGGAACGGCAUCCGAUACGGGGCGGCUCGAGACCGAGAGAGGUGAGUGGAAUACCCAGUGUAGAGGUGAAAUUCGCAGAUAUUGGGUGGAACACCGGUGGCGAAAGCGGCUCACUGGCUCGGUUCUGACGCUGAGGCGCGAAAGCGUGGGGAGCAAACAGG
rnacentral:rRNA from 1 species